AUACGGAGGGGGCUAGCGUUGUUCGGAAUUACUGGGCGUAAAGGGCACGUAGGCGGACCAAACAGUCAGGCGUGAAAGCCCCGGGCUUAACCUGGGAACUGCGCUUGAUACUGCUGGUCUAGAGUCCGGGAGAGGGUAGUGGAAUUCCCAGUGUAGAGGUGAAAUUCGUAGAUAUUGGGAAGAACACCGGUGGCGAAGGCGGCUACCUGGACCGGUACUGACGCUAAGGUGCGAAAGCGUGGGGAGCAAACAGGAUUAGAAACCCCAGUAGUCC
rnacentral:rRNA from 1 species